CUGGGAGGCCAGCAUGACUUGGCCUCUGUGAUGCCUAGUUUCUGUGCCGGCAGACUGGACACAGAAGAGCCCAUGGAAUGGGAGGUUAGCGGGACCCAGCCCCCUGGUCUAGCCGUUGGACAGGCAGGCUGGGGAGCCGGCGACAUGGCCAAAGCUCUGGAACGCCUAGUCAUCAGAUGGUGACUCCCUGCAGAGCUACCAAGCCAUCACCCAAUGUCCUCAGGAGCUUGAGAGGGGCCGUGGCAGCCCAGACCUGCACCUGUUGCUGCUCCUCCAGGAGCGUUUCUCUGGCCUCACGCUGGCCAUCUAGGCUCACAACACCGCCGUCGCUCAGUGUGAGAGUGGCAGAGUUGAUGGGCUGAGGAGGCUCAAGCUGAAUGCUGUCCCAACGCGUCGUCACACCACCAACGUUUCCUGGCAGACCAACCAAGCGGAGAAGGACGGCAAUAAUGUACGGCUCUGAGCCCAGGGCGCCCCCUGCUGUCUCUCCCAGGAAAAUGCAGCUCAGCCUGGAUGCGCAGGAACCCUUGACCCUCUCGCAGAACUCCAACGCUUCCUCCACAGACGCGAGUCAGGACUCUGACAGUGUGUAUGUAGAUUAUGGAACCCAUGGACUGGUAGGUCAGCAUGACUUGGCCUCUGUGGGGCCUAGUGUCUGUGCAGGCAGACUAUGACACUGAAGACCCAAUGGGCUGGGAGGACAGCGAAACCCAGCCCUGAGCCCUUUCCCACGUGCAGGCUGGCUGGGGGAUGGAGGUGAUGACUAAACCUCUGGAGCGUCGUCUAGUGAUCAGAUGGUGACACCCUUCACACCCAGAGUCCUGGGGAGCCUGAGUUUAAUCCUGAUACUGUGGACUGGCAGCCCAGCAUGGCCCCAGGCAAGAUGAAGAUGGACAAGGAGGAGCCAAUGGACUGGAAGGGCAGUAGGACCCAGCCCUGUGGGCCAGCCGUCACACAGGCACGCUAGGGAGUCAACGAGAUGGUCAAAGCAUUUGAACGCCUGGUCAUGGGAUGGUAACCUCCAGAGCUACCAAACUUGAGGUAACAUCCCCUGAAGUUAAGCCACCAAGGCUUAGUUCCAGAAGAGGCCUUGAUGGAGGACCACCCACGCUCCGUGAGGACAAGAGCCCACCCUUCGCCUGCUUUGAGCCCAGGGGAUCCAGCUUUGGUCUGUCCAUGUAGCUCCUCUGCUCACUGCUGCCACCCUUCACCUGAGUGCCAUCACAACCUUAGCGACGUCAUCCACUUUCCGAUCAUCAGUGGUUCAUCACGAAGUCCACUAUCCCAUCAGUAGGGCAAUUCACUUAGGCUUAAUA